GUCCCUUUAGGACAUCCAACAAAAUUAGAACGAUAUAGAAAAAAUUAACAUGGCUCCUAUACAAGAAUGACACCCAUAAAUGAAGAAAUGGUCAAAAUUAUG